rnacentral:piRNA from 1 species
GGGCAAAACUUAGUUGGCUGUGG